AUUGAACGCUGGCGGCAUGCUUUACACAUGCAAGUCGAACGGUAACAGGCCGCAAGGUGCUGACGAGUGGCGAACGGGUGAGUAAUGCAUCGGAACGUGCCCAGUCGUGGGGGAUAACUACUCGAAAGAGUAGCUAAUACCGCAUACGAUCUAUGGAUGAAAGCGGGGGACCGUAAGGCCUCGCGCGAUUGGAGCGGCCGAUGUCAGAUUAGGUAGUUGGUGGGGUAAAGGCUCACCAAGCCAACGAUCUGUAGCUGGUCUGAGAGGACGACCAGCCACACUGGGACUGAGACACGGCCCAGACUCCUACGGGAGGCAGCAGUGGGGAAUUUUGGACAAAGGGCGCAAGCCUGAUCCAGCAAUGCCGCGUGCAGGAAGAAGGCCUUCGGGUUGUAAACUACUUUUGUACGGAACGAAACGGCUCUGGUUAAUACCCGGGGCUAAUGACGGUACCGUAAGAAUAAGCACCGGCUAACUACGUG
rnacentral:rRNA from 1 species